rnacentral:rRNA from 1 species
GAUGAACGCUAGCGGCAGGCUUAACACAUGCAAGUCGAGGGGCAGCACGUCUUCGGAUGGUGGCGACCGGCGCACGGGUGCGUAACGCGUAUACAACCUACCUUAUAGAGGGGAAUAGCCCAGAGAAAUUUGGAUUAAUGCCCCAUAGUAUUAUUGAAUAGCAUUAUUUGAUGAUUAAACAUUUAUGGCUAUAAGAUGGGUAUGCGUUCUAUUAGCUAGAUGGUAAGGUAACGGCUUACCAUGGCGACGAUAGACAGGGGUCCUGAGAGGGAGAUCCCCCACACUGGUACUGAGACACGGACCAGACUCCUACGGGAGGCAGCAGUGAGGAAUAUUGGACAAUGGGCGAGAGCCUGAUCCAGCCAUGCCGCGUGCAGGAAGACGGCCCUAUGGGUUGUAAACUGCUUUUAUACGGGAAGAAACACUCCUUCGUGAAGGAGCUUGACGGUACCGUAAGAAUAAGGAUCGGCUAACUCCGUGCCAGCAGCCGUAC